rnacentral:sRNA from 1 species
GGAAAUGUAAUUGAUCACACUUGCACUUACUGAUUGCUAGGGCUGAUUCAGCUGACCUGGCUGGGCAGCUGUGUACUUUCUCCCUCAUAUUUCCUUGUGUAGUCUCUGGAGGCAGUAAUUUGUAUGCUUAGAUAAAAGGGAUGAACUUUCCAGUUAGAGAACGACUGUUCUUUGAUCAAAGACACACACAUAAGGAAUUCCUCUGCUGUCGGGACCACAGUCCUUGGAGACAGAGACUGCUCCUGCACAUGGGAAAGUUUCUAUUGU